GAUGAACGCUGGCGGCGUGCCUAAUACAUGCAAGUCGAGCGAACGGACGAGAAGCUUGCUUCUCUGAUGUUAGCGGCGGACGGGUGAGUAACACGUGGAUAACCUACCUAUAAGACUGGGAUAACUUCGGGAAACCGUAGCUAAUACCGGAUAAUAUAUUGAACCGCAUGGUUCAAAAGUGAAAGACGGUCUUUCUGUCACUUAUAGAUGGAUCCGCGCUGCAUUAGCUAGUUGGUAAGGUAAUGGCUUACCAAGGCAACGAUGCAUAGCCGACCUGAGAGGGGGAUCGGCCACAUUGGAACGGAGACACGGUCCAGACUCCUACGGGAGGCAGCAGUAGGGAAUCUUCCGCAAUGGGCGAAAGCCUGACGGAGCAACGCCGCGUGAGUGAUGAAGGUCUUCGGAGCGGAAAACUCUGUUAUUAGGGAAGAACAUAUGUGUAAGUAACUGUGCACAGCUUGACGGUACCUAAUCAGAAAGCCACGGCUAACUACGUG
rnacentral:rRNA from 1 species